CUAUAUAAGGAGGAGAGAGAGCUAUGCCAAUCCUUUAGCUCCCAGGGUAGGGAGCUGCUGUGUUGAUCCCGGGGAAGGGAGCCUGGCUGGAUGGAGAAGAUCAGGGACCCAGGGCCAUCACCAACUCCAGUGGGCCGUUUGCUCUGGGGGCAGACGUGGCUUCAGACCUGAGAUCAAUGGAGCAUCUGUGAAGACAGUGGCAAAGCCAGUCAUCAAGAUGCAAUCACCUACCAGCUGACGCUCUGAGGGAGCUCGAUUUCCCUGCCUCUGCUUAAGGGAGCUGAGCGAGGAUCCCCGCUUGAGUGCAAAGGACGGGAGGGGACGAGAGCUGGCUGCUGGAAGGAGUCGGGGUCUCACCUGGAGUCUGGCUGGGCAGAGAUGGAGCCAGAACAUGGGUUCACUGCAGCUUAGCUGGGCUCUGGGUUGACCAGGAGGCUCUGUGCUUUCACUGUUCUCUGUGCCACCCUGGGGGUUUCCUGGGCAGUGCUAGGUGACUAAUAAACCAACUGUUUUGCCAA